AAACGCAAGGGUUUUAUGAACCUGAGAAGAAAGUCGACCAACGUUUUAUAGUAAAUGCGCAAUCAUGUCCAUCCGGGAGUGUAAGAGCUUGGUGGGGGCAUUGCAUCACUUGGGAAGCAUACCAGAGGAUUUUCGAAUAAGCUGAAAAAGACUGCUAAGAACAGAAGAGUCGAGUUAAAAUAGACCCAAGUUUUGAUAGCAAAAGUACAUUGUACCUAUUCCUUUGAAGAAUAAUAAAUAUAUUAAAGUAU